rnacentral:rRNA from 1 species
GUGGGGAAUAUUGCACAAUGGGGGAAACCCUGAUGCAGCAACGCCGCGUGAGUGAUGAAGGUCUUCGGAUUGUAAAACUCUGUCUUUGGGGACGAUAAUGACGGUACCCAAGGAGGAAGCCACGGCUAACUACGUGCCAGCAGCCGCGGUAAUACGUAGGUGGCAAGCGUUGUCCGGAUUUACUGGGCGUAAAGGGAGCGUAGGCGGAUUUUUAAGUGGGAUGUGAAAUACCCGGGCUUAACCUGGGUGCUGCAUUCCAAACUGGAAGUCUAGAGUACAGGAGGGGAAAGUGGAAUUCCUAGUGUAGCGGUGAAAUGCGUAGAGAUUAGGAAGAACACCGGUGGCGAAGGCGACUUUCUGGACUGUAACUGACGCUGAGGCUCGAAAGCGUGGGGAGCAAACAGGAUUAGAUACCCCGGUAGUCC